AUGAAGGAAUCUUUCUUUUCAACAGUUGUUCUUGUUGUUCCCUGUGGAGUGGAAAGUAUGACAGUGGCAAAGAAUUGGAAAUUGAGAAAUGUCCAUCAAUUGUGGGGAAUGGCAGAACAAAUUGUGUGUCUGGCUCAUAGCACCUCAAAGUUGGAAGAGUCUCCAAGGAUGCACAGUGAACUUCAACCUUGACUAAGAAUCCAAUGUACAACAUUUCCAACAAGUGGAACUCCAACCUUCACCAUUUACCUGUUCUCUUCUAAAGCAGACAGACCUUAUGGACAGACCUAAUUGUGAGGAAGUUUUGUUUUUUAAAUUUUUUACAACAAAGCUAAAAUUUUUCUGUUCUUUGAUCUUAGAUUUACCCUCUGGGGCCAAGUAGAUUUUUUUUUCAUGAUACCUUCUCAGACAUAUGAAAAUAUCUCUCUGUUUUCUUCUUUCUUCUCUUUUCCAUCCCCAGGGCUACAGUAACAUUUCCAAUUUGAUUACUUUCCUGGUCAAUGUCCUUUUUAUAAUGUUGUACCCAGAAAUUAAUAUUGCACUCAUGACCUAACCACACAGAAUAACAUUGGAGUAUCACUUCUGUUGUUCUAAAUUUUAUGUAGUAAUAUUUAUUUUUAUUUGCUAUCCCAAACUAUGACGAAUUUUGAGCUUUCAGAUCCACUAAAAAAUCUCAGAUUACUUGUAAUGUUAACAAUUGUCUAUCCCUAGCACACUAGUCUAUACUUAUUCUCCUGAUUAUGUAAUCUCAAAUGUAGACUUUUCCACUAAU
rnacentral:lncRNA from 1 species